UUAAAUGGCCCCUGGAGCAAUAUGCGUGUGAAUAAGGAAACCGGAGAACUCAGCUUUAAAGAGAUCCGAAUUGAUCAGACUGGAAAUUAUGAAGUGAAGAUCAACACCAGCAGUUUGAUAAUAGACAGGAAAUUCAGUAUUACUGUUGCUCAGUCAGGUGCUGCAUCAGGGAUAUGUGGUGCUGGUGUUGGUCUGAUAGUUUGGGCUGUAGCUGUUUUUUUGCUGCAAGAAGUAUAAGCAACCAAAGCAAAGGUGUACUAAUGCUGCACAUGAGAGCAACUGAGAGCAUGCUAUCAAACGGGAAACUCCCAACAGCAGUAUUUUAGUCACUAUAACAGUAUACACAUUAACAGUAUAUUAAUUCAACCCAUGCGUGCUUUUUAGAUGUUUUUUUUUGUUUUUUUCAUUUGUUUUGGCAUAAUUACAGAAAUGUGCUUUCAUUAUUAUGAAGUUGAUGUAACAGUUUGCUGUUCACACAUCAAUGUUUGACUUAUUUAGUGUAAUUUUGUUACACUCCAGGAUUGAUUAUUUUUACACUUUUGCAGAGUUUAGCAGAAAUAUUCUCAUACUUAAUGUGUAAAUACUUUUUUGUUUUGUUACAUUGCAUUUUUUGCUUGUUCUUUCAUUGAAUAAUGUAUGCUUAAAUAUUUUUUUAAAUGACUGACUUCUGACACCACAUUUUUCCAAAUGAAUCCAUUAUGCAUGUGUAAAAUGACUGUUUUCAUGAAUAAUCCAGUGUUAAAUACUCUUAGUGGCACUCUGUGAUACUGUGUUCUUACAAGAGUUACAAGAUGAUCUUUGUCUGAACAUUUCAUUCAUUCAGCUUUUGGCUUUUUAUAAUAAUUGUAACAUAAAGCACAUCAGUUUUUUCAGUUGUCAUUGUAUGCAAGUAUUGUGAAAAUAAAAGCUUGGUUUGCCCAUAA